AUUACAUUUAUAUAUCCGGUUUGGGCCUGAACCUGGCAUACAAUGUAGAAUUCUGUGUUAGUAUACAAACAGCUACAUUGUCUGCUGGGUUUCAGGCUACCUGGAACAAUUGAAAAUCAUUUG
rnacentral:precursor_RNA from 17 species